rnacentral:lncRNA from 1 species
GAAUAUAAAACUGUGGAAGUCAAGGGCAUCAUCAGAACUCACAUCACUAGGCAAAAAUGGGAAACUGCAUUCCCACAUUGAGCUGCAAGCAUGGAAACAAAGUUAGAGAUGUCUGGUUGGAUGAGAUGGCAACAGAGAAGACCAAGGAUCAACCUCGAGAGACUGUUGGGAAGAAAACUGGGACAAGGCGGUGCAUAAAGAUCACUCUGACAAGGAAGCAGCUGGAGAUGCUGCUGAAAAAUGCAGAGGGUGUUUCCUUUAAGCUCCCAGAGACUUGCGGGAGCGGCGAGCGGAGAUGGAAGCCAUCUUUGCAGACAAUAUUAGAGGUAGAUAACUUAUGAUGCCAUAAUUUUGAAUCUUGAUCUGGAUUGAAGCUGAGUAGCAGAAGGGAGAUCAAUUUUGAUGACAACUCCGUCUAGUAGUUUUGCAUUCUCCUUAGUGAAU